AACAACAGCGCGCGCGCGCCAGCCCCACGGAGCGCGCGCGCCAGAGGCGACACGAGAGAGCGCGCGCGUGCGGCCCACAGUCAUUUAGCCAGUGAACGCUCCACCGCUGAGCAUGCGCGCCUGGGAACUUCUGCCUCCUGAGAGCAGCAGCUCGAAGACGUACGAGCGGAUGCGACACUUGAGCGUGCCCGCCAGCCGUCUACGCUAUAUUGGAUGCGCGACAGAAAAGCACGUGCCACAACUCCCUUUGGAGGCGGAGCAGGCAGGCAGCUAGGGCACGCGCUCGCUCCUCCCCCCUCCCUUCCCCCGCGUGACAGUUCCGGGCGGGGGAGGGGGAUAGAGGGGAGCGAAGGGUUCCGCGAGGACACAGAGAGAAAGAGCUCGAGCGCUGGGAGGGGGGAAGAGCCGUCUCCCUUAUGUAACCGAGCGGGGCAGACGGGACGGAGGGGGCUGCGGACUCCUCCUCCUCCCCCCCUCUACGGAAAGUGCCGACAGCUGCCGGACUUGCCCGAAGUUCUAGACUUUGUUUUUUCACGCUUGUGAAUGACACAGGGGGAUCCCCUAUCGCGGGGGCGGGGCGGCGCGGCAGUGCCCGCGGCCUCUGGGCAUGGGGAGCCCGGGGGGGGGGGGUGUUGGGGAGCCGGCACGGGACAUUGCUGGGAUUUCCAUGGGGCCUGUCUGGUGCAAUACAGGACACAUGGUUGCUAGCGCCAGGUGGCACAAGCCAUUUGCUGGGAGUCCAGUGGUGCUAUAGGGACACGGGGUUUGGCAUGAGGCGGCACCGAGCAUCUGCUCAGAGGCCGGCCAGAGGGCACCACGCUAUGGGGCAGUGGAGUUAAGCCUGUGGUCUGCAGACUAUGUCUAAGAUUUCCAAAGGGGUGCCCACCUCUUCUUGAAAAUUUUAAAGGGGCCUGCAAAUUAAAAAAAGGUUGAAAACCACUGUGACAUGGAGGAGGGGUAAAAAUCGAUUUAAAAACAAUACAUGAAAACCCAAUUUUUUAAUUUAAAUUGGACUUUUAUUUUUUACCUAAUAUUUUUCCAUUUAAAAAUAAACCCAGUUAAAAUGAAAUCUGAUUUUAAUACAAAAUAUGUUAAGGCCUACAGAUAUAAUCGUUUAGGACAUUAAAUUAAAAAAAUGCUGAAUCCAUGAGUCUGUAUCAAACACUUUUCCAUUAAAGGCUUCUUUUCUGUAUAAAGAAAGAAUCAGGAGCAAAACAUCUAAUGUUUAUGGUCAAGCUUUAUAAAUAUGGCACAAUAGGUCGCAUACUGUAUUAAGGGCUUGAUCCUGUCACUGUGUUACUGGGUGAAAGAAAAAGGCAUUUGGACCUGAUCUCUGACUACAGGAGACACCUUUAUGAUCUCAUCAAGAUCAUUCAUUCAGCUCACCUGGAUGCUCUCCCUCUCCUGUUUUAUAGCUUUUCCCAAUGCGGCUCCUGAUUGGCUCAAUACUCAUCUUAUGACUUCACCCACUUUCUCUCCGGCUCAUGAAAAAACACUGAUCUGCCCAGUAACUACCAGCCCUUGCUUCUGGAUGGGUCUGGCCACUUCAAGCAAAUGACAUUGCUCUGUUUCCAUGCAAGUGUACACAGAGAGACAAACAGAAAUCCAUUAAUUUCUUAACUGCCUCUCAAUCUCCAAACAAAAUACUGUAGUGCAAAAGGAUCCAACUCAGGCAAAAGGGAUAUGAACUGCCAUAAUCUGCAGUUUCUACAAUUUCAGAGUCAUCUAUUGAUACCACCAGGGCUGCAACUAAACAGACAUCAGACAGUAAAUUACCUGUAUUAAAAAAAAAGACUCUUUGUCGUCCAGUAAAACCAUGGAUGAGUUUAUAAUCAGGACCAGCAAAUCUAGAAGAAGAUAACUUAGGGAACCUGAAAGAUAUACGGGUGCUGUGCUCAAUUGAUGCAUCUUCUAGCCAAAACUUAAGUACAACUCCAGGAGUAAAAGAAAGUAGUGUUGAAAUUGCAGAGUACUUCUGUAACAGCCAGUUUGCUUCAGCUUCCCCAAAGAGAGCAGGAGGAGCUAAACUAAUUCUCCCCCAAGAUGUAUGAUGGAAUUCAGUGGUUGACUGUUUUGAGCUGUUUAUUAAGAACUGGCCUAUUCUGAUGAAAAUUUGUGAAGAAAAUUGUGAUAAAAUAGAUGGGAUUAUCAUAAACAAAAUAGUCAGCAUCGGACUAAAGAGAAAUGUAGAAGACAUGCUGAAGUUCCUGAAACCUAUUUCCAUAGCCUUGGACAAACUUUUUAGUGUAUGUGCAACAUGCCUCAGGUGGCACAUGACCAGGAUUCAUCACCGAAUUUCGGUCCACUGGUUGGAUCAUUAGCUUCCCCGGCCCAGGAUAGGUACUGACGGGGAGUGCAAUGUGAAUGCUGAUCCAUGUCCUCCUUGGGCAAACUCUAGAAAGAUUACUGCUUGACACUGUUGAAAUUUGGAAAGAACUUCAAGAGACACUGAAGAAAGUAUACCCAACAACAAAGUUAAAUUGCAGGCAGUAAAGAAGUAAAUGAAUCAAGCACUUUCUCCACCUCUUUUCCAUGCCAGUAUUUUCAACCCAAGGUAUCCAGGUAGAUGCCUAACUGCUGAAGAACAUGCUGCUGUUACAACAUGGACAUCUAAUAAUCACCCCUCAGUCAUUCCAACUAUACUAAAUGUCAAGGCUGGAGGUGAACCACUCAAGCAGUACCUGUUUGCUGAUGAUGUUUUAAAGAAAGUCACACCAUUGAACUGGCUAAGCACCUGGGACCAGAGUUAGUUGAAGUGCUAAAUCAGCUUUGGACAGCAAUAGCUUUUUCUGCAGGCACAGAGAGAAUAUUUUCUUCAUUUGGACCAAUUCAUUCAAAGUUGAGAAAUCGAUUUGGGAGUUGAAAAAGCUGGAAAACUUGUCUUUCUCUUCCAGUCUAUGAAUAAAAAUGAGGAGGAAGGGGAUGUGAUCUACUAGUUUUAUAAGUCUGAAGGACAGCCUAAGUAAUUUACAAAACUGAUGUCUCAUUUUCAAGAAACUUAGGCGAGUAGGAACUUAAACUCCAGUCACUUUCACUUAGGCAUAUUUGAAAAUUUUCCGAGGCUGACCUGAAAUGAUCAAUUUAAUUCAAUGACUACAGUUAAUCCCGCUGCUCCUUUAAUAAAUCACUUAGUUGUAAAUGUGAAAUUAAAAGAGAAAUGUAUUUGAUUUUUGUUUAAGAAAAAUAAAUGUUAUAUGUUGUGU